rnacentral:rRNA from 1 species
CAGUUCGGAUUGCAGUCUGCAACUCGAGUGCAUGAAGCUGGAAUCGCUAGUAAUCGCGGAUCAGAAUGCCGCGGUGAAUACGUUCCCGGGUCUUGUACACACCGCCCGUCACACCAUGGGAGUCGGGAAUGCCCGAAGCCGGUGGCCCGAUCGAGAGAAGGGAGCCGUCGAAGGCAGGCCGGAUGACUGGGGUGAAGUCGUAACAAGGUACC